GGGUGUCCGCAUUGUAUAUCUCAAGAAGUGUUUUCCGUUUCGGACCAAGCCUAAGUCCCUUGGAAAAGGGCAUCAUAGAGGGUGAUAAUCCCGUACAUGGCUUGGAGCGCCCGAGGCUUUGUGAUACGCUUUCUAAGAGUCGAGUUGUUUGGGAAUGCAGCUCAAAAUGGGUGGUAAAUGCCAUCUAAGGCUAAAUAUUGGGGAGAGACCGAUAGCGAACAAGUACAGUGAUGGAAAGAUGAAAAGAACUUUGAAAAGAGAGUUAAACAGUACGUGAAAUUGCCAAAAGGGAAGGGUAGGAGGUCAGAGAUGCGGCCUGGGAUUCAGCCUUGCUUUUGCUUGGUGUUUUUCCCAGAUUGCAGGCCAACGUCGGUUUUGGGCACUGGAGAAGGGUAGGAGGAACGUGGCACCUCUCGGGGUGUGUUAUAGCCUCCUACUGGAUACAGCGACCGAGACCGAGGAAAGCAGCGUACUCGUAAGAGCGGGCCCUCGGGUACCUUUACGCUUAGGGCGUUGGCAUAAUGGCCCUCUACCACCCGUCUUGAAACA
rnacentral:rRNA from 1 species